rnacentral:rRNA from 1 species
CAACCGGAACUGUUUGGAAAGACAGGCCAUAGUGGGUGACAGCCCCGUACGGGUAAUUCAAUCAUCAGUCCUCGAGUAGGGCGGGACACGUGAAAUCCUGUCUGAACGUGGGGGGACCACCCUCCAAGCCUAAGUACUCGUGCAUGACCGAUAGCGAACAAGUACCGUGAGGGAAAGGUGAAAAGCACCCCGACAAGGGGAGUGAAAUAGUACCUGAAACCGGAUGCCUACAAGCAGUCGGAGGGCGAAAGCCUGACGGCGUACCUUUUGUAUAAUGGGUCAACGACUUAGUGCAGCAAGCAAGCUUAAGCCGAUAGGUGUAGGCGCAGCGAAAGCGAGUCUUAAUAGGGCGACUAGUUUGUUGCAUUAGACCCGAAACCGAGUGAUCUAGCCAUGAGCAGGUUGAAGGUUGGGUAACACCAACUGGAGGACCGAACCCGCAUCUGUUGCAAUAGAUUGGGAUGACUUGUGGUUAGGGGUGAAAGGCCAAUCAAACUCGGAGAUAGCUGG